UACAGAGGGUGCUAGCGUUAAUCGGAAUUACUGGGCGUAAAGGGUGCGUAGGUGGUUUGAUAAGUUAUCUGUGAAAUUCCCGGGCUUAACCUGGGUAGGUCAGAUAAAACUGUUGGACUCGAGUAUGGGAGAGGGUAGUGGAAUUUCCGGUGUAGCGGUGAAAUGCGUAGAGAUCGGAAGGAACACCAGUGGCGAAGGCGGCUACCUGGCCCAAUACUGACGCUGAGGCACGAAAGCGUGGGGAGCAAACAGG
rnacentral:rRNA from 1 species